UCUCGGCAAUGGAUAUCUCGGCUCUCGCAUCGAUGAAGAGCGCAGCGAAAUGCGAUACGUGGUGCGAAUUGCAGAAUCCCGCGAACCAU
rnacentral:rRNA from 2 species